GGACCACCUUGAUAGCGUGGCUGAUAGGGGUUCAAGUCCCCUCAAUUCUA
rnacentral:tRNA from 2 species